rnacentral:lncRNA from 1 species
AACUUUAUAGGGCACCCAAAAAAGACUAAGGGGUAUUACUUCUACCUUACUGAUGAACAAUAAGUGUUUGUCAGCAAUAAGACAGUCUUUUUGGAAAAGAAGUUUCUUGAAAAAGAAACUAAUAUCUCUAAGAUGGAACUUGAUGAAGUUUGAUCAGUAGAAGAACUGACACAAUUUGGUAAACCAUGGAGUCAGAUUUGAUUAGAUCAAAUUAGAAACAUGUUGUGAAGAUAUCUUUGAG